UACAGAGGUCCCAAGCGUUGUUCGGAUUCACUGGGCGUAAAGGGUGCGUAGGUGGUGAGGUAAGUCGGAUGUGAAAUCUCCGAGCUCAACUCGGAAAUGGCAUUGGAAACUACCUUGCUCGAGGGUUGGAGGGGGGACUGGAAUGGCUUGGUGUAGCAGUGAAAUGCGUAGAUAUCAAGCGGAACACCAGUGGCGAAGGCGAGUCCCUGGACAACUCCUGACACUGAGGCACGAAAGCUAGGGGAGCAAAACAGGG
rnacentral:rRNA from 1 species